UCUCUCUCUCUCUCUCUCUCUCUCUCUCUCUCUCUCUCUCUCUCUCUCUCUCUCUCUCUUUCACUCUUUCUUUCUCUCUUUCUCUCCAGCUGGAAUGAUUCAUUCUCGAUUACCUCUCUCUACCCUUUCUUUCCUCAUUUCUUUUUUAUGUAGAGAUACGUCGUAUGUGUAUGGACUAAUGUAUACGUGAUAAUUGUGUUCCCCCCGCUCAUGUGUCGACCGUUCCGUGUCUUUUAGCCCCCGUUCGACGAGUUCUCGUCCUUGUUAUCUAUUUUUAACAUUUAGCGUUAAUAAUGUUUUUUCUCGGACAUUGAGAGUGUUGUUCUCGAUGCGAGGUCUUCGUAAUGAGCGUACUUUGUAGUCAAAGCUGUAUCUAUAUAAAUUAUCGAGAUAGUGCGUUAAUCGCACGUGUAUCCACUCUGCCGUCGCGCUUAAUUCGCGAUCAACCGGAUAGCCUGUUCGAGUGUGUCAGAUUUUCGACAUAAUGCGUCAAAAGAGAAGCAAUGUGUAUAUUUCUUCCCGGUGUCCGUGGAUUAAUCGCGGCUGCACCGUAACAUUGUACAGACAUAAUUUAAAUGUCCUCUCAGUCUCUCCCUCGAUUGAUUCAAUAUCUUUAAGGCAUCCGGCUACUCGUCGCGUUCAUAUUGGAUUGUAACGUUAAAAGUGAAAAAUGACAUGCUAAAAAUUCUUGUACGCCAUCUCCAAAUAAAAAAAUGUUUGUAUGAAAAAGCACUUCAGAUUGCUUGAGCAUACUUGUAAGAUGUUCCAAAAACUAUCCUUUUUCCUUGAUGGUCAAAGAAUAGCGAUAAAAUGAACGUGGCAGAAUCAGGGCAGGAGAAAGGAUAGGUUAAAGAGGAAGGUUGAAAGUCACGUUAAUUUUGCGGCUAUUUAGUAACUGUCAAGAAAAAAGGAUUUUACAGAUAUGAGCGAUCAGAAGUGUUCUUUCAUACAAAGUGUUCUCUAUUUGGAAAUGACACGACAGAAUUUUAGAUUUUGAAAAAGCGUUUUUUCGCUUCUGACGUUAUUGAAUCAUCGUUCCGCAACGAAUAUCCAGUCUCAACUCCUUUUUCAUUAUUGCGUUAUUACCACUGAUAUCUUGGUGGGACUCGAGAUUCAACUCGCGGUCAUGCUCAUCGAGAACCCUCUGCUUUAGGUACAAUUCGAUAGUCAGAUUCUCCCUCGAAAUCGUAAUUGAUUGCAUUCCGAUAGAGACGCAUGUCUCAUGCAGAGUAUCAGAGGUUUUCUGCUCGUUUUGAUAUUGACCGAGUGUCUGUGUCGGAAAUUGCUAAUGUGACUCAAACUUGAGUUCUACUUAUCGUAUCGUGUGUAUUAUCGACGUAGGUAUUCACACAACACACGUACACCCGACGCAGUUGUAAUACGCAAAUUAACGAUUUUGUUUUGCAUAUUAACACAACAACUAUUGUAAUGUAUAAAACGUGUUUAUUCUAGAUUUUUCUCCGGGUAAUUAUCAUGUACGAAUAAUUUUCUUCCCCUCCUCCCCCCCCCCUCAGUCGGAGCUUCUCCGACUUUUUCUUUAUGAAUGUUAACGUUACGUAGAUCCCACUAGAUAUUCUCUUUACUUAAAAAACCAAAGGAUAAGUAUUAAGUUAAAAUUAAUUUUUUAUUGCGGUUUAUACUGACAUUGUACUCUUCCUUGCUUUUUUCUCGUUUCCAACGUAAAAAAGAAAUACAUGUACACACACAUACACACAUUGCGCGUGUAAUAACAUGUGCGAGAUCGUCCACGACUUGUUGUGUUCUUACAUUUCUCCGACAAAUAUAUACAUAAAUAUAUAUAUAUAUAUAUAUAUAUAUAUAUAUAUAUAUAUAUAUAUAUAUAUAUAUAUAUAUAUAUCUAUAUAUCUCCCUGUUUAAAAAAUACAGCGAAGCAUUACGAAAUGUGUAUGAUUUUUCCAGUCGGACACAUUCCGUGAGGAUUUUGCGCGAUUACGAUCGGGCAUUACAUUUGGAAUAUAUAUCUAUAUAGGCAUAUAUAAAUAAAUACAUAGAAGUGUAGAACGUGUAUAUAUAUACGUCUAUAUGAAGUUACAGUUCCAGGAGUAACUUGACUGACGACGCUACGAAUUUUGAUUGUGCCAGAAAAUAUAUAUUGUUGGUAGUCGCAGGCGAGAUUUAUAUUAGAUCUCCGGUAAGCGUUGUAGGAUGUAUAUUCAGACUUCCGCUCGCCUGUUAAAUAAAAUGAUCGUAGAUCAUGUUACCUUUCAUUUCUUGUAAGCGAUGUAGCAGAGAGUUUCUUGUUUUUGUACUAUAUUCGCACUUGGAUUGCGCUUGAAUGUAAAUUGUUCCGGUCGACUGUUGAAGAUCUUAACGCCACUUUUAAGGAAACCAAUGAUCUGUGGAGAUAUGUGAAUGCGAAGAAACAUUAUCUGUAGGAUGAUUCUUUUUCAUAGAUUUUCGGUCUGAUUCGAUAUAUGUAGUACAUAGUACGCAAUUCUAACAGGAAAGUAGAUUCUUCGAGAUGUACAUUAUGCUUCCUACAGUUAAGACUGAAACUAAUAUUGCGUAUAAGGCGUAUAUAUAUCAAAUCUAGAACAAUCUCUUUCUCACACAUACACAGACGUAUACUGAGUCUGUACGUGCGACUAUGUGUCUUAAAUAUUUUUUUUCUGUAAGAAUACUUGCGCGAAAGAAAAAUAAAGUGUGCCAACGCAAUUUUAAGGUAAACGCGGUCGUUUUUAUGAUCGUCCAACACGACAGUUUCUUUUAUAAUUUUAAAUGUACGGAACACUGUGUGUGUGAUUGGAGGGGGAAAUCUAGAGAUUUAUUUAUAUUAUUUAUAUAUACGCUACGAGAAUAAGAAAGAAUUGUAAAGUAAUAUUUAUUAUUUGUUGCACAUGUGUUGUAAAUUUAAGUUUCCAUUGUGAAAAAAAUAUCGUUACAUAUUUUCCAAUGCACACACAAUCGUUUUUUAGAAAGAGAAAGUGUUUUGUAGAAAGAAAAAUAAAUUACUUCCAAAUAA